UCAAGAAGCUACCCUGUCACCACUGG
rnacentral:piRNA from 1 species